GUGUUAUAUAACCAUUCUUCUCCAUGCCAGUUUUCUCCUGGGAAAAUUUUGGAUCAUUGCAGAUCUUCCCCCGCGGAAAUUUGGAAUAACGUAUACAUACAAUGUAUAGUCACUUUUCCUCCGUGCCAAUCUAUCCCCCAUAUGAUAGAUUUCAUUUUAUUCAUGAGUCUGAAAAUUAAAUCCAGCAGAGAUGUUUUAUGCGGACAAAUAUUUAUUGUCAAUUUACAUUUAAAUUACAUAAUUGUUCGUCAGUCUGUCUAUGUGUCCACUAGUCUGUCUUUAUUUUUACCAGUCUUUCUAGUAGUCUACUAGUUUGUCUACAUUUUUCAGAGUCUGGCUAUGUGUCCACAUGUCUGUCUACAUGGUUUCUAGUCUGUCAAUGUCCACUUGUCCGUCUACAUUUUCAAAGGUCUGUCUAUGUUUCAAUUAGUCUUUCUUCGUGUUAAAUAGUCUGCCUUCGAAUUGACAAGUCCGUCUUUGUGUCUACUAUUCUGUCUACAUGUCCACCAGUUCUACUCCGUGUUCAAUAGUCUAUGUACAUGUUUUCCAGUAAGUGUACAUUUCCAACAAUUCGUCAACAUGUCCACCAGUCUGUGUAUGUAUCUAUCAAUCUGUCUACUUGUCUACUCUUACAGCCGGUCUAUAUUUUUACCAUAAUGUGCCUACAUGUCUAUCAGUCCGCCUAUAUAUUUUUACCCGUCUAGCUGUUAAACUUUUUUGUGUUGUUUUGUCGGGUUGUCCAAAUCUUCAACGUGCUGACAUUUACAUGCAUCUUUUGACCUGAUAACUUACUACAUGAAAGUAUAUACUCCAUACUAAUACCCUCAUGAUUUGAAAUGCCAAACAG
rnacentral:lncRNA from 1 species